AAGAUAAUUUAAUAAUGGGAACUGCUUAUGUAAUAAACUAACUACCCCAAAUAAACAUGUAAAGUAAAUAAAAAGACUAAAAAAAGAUACUGUCCAAUUCAAACAAAGAAAUGUUUUGGUUUUAUUCAGAUGAGAAACCCAAAUUGCUAAGCGUCAUCCGACCAAAGGGCUAAAAUCUUACACAAGUAAUAAUGUCAUUAGCCUCGCCGUUAAUAUUUUGUUGGGAUCAUCAUUUCUGAAUGACUACCUGUCCUACCCCACCUAGGCUGGAUGUCAAGUCUAAGGGCGUUCUAUGACAAGGAGAAAAUUAAUGUUUUUAGUAAUACUUAACAUCCCACCUAUCGUCCAAGAGGCAUUAGACUUUACUAAUUUUGAAUUUGUGUUCUAGAUGAGAAGAAAACUAUGUUGCCUAGGACUCGAAGCGUGUAACACGUUGGACCACAAGUAGCACAUAAUUGUCCCAAGUUAGCCUCUUGGUUAAUAAAUGAGUUGAUUAAUAUGGUAAGCAUGCCAAGACAAAUAAUUAAUUGCUACAUCAUUAACCUAUAGGCAUGGUGUCUAAAUGAUCAACGAUUCAUGAUAAAAGACUGUGAUUCGUGUAUGCAACAACCUUAUGUUUGUUCAUGAGAGGUAUCAAAAGUGUGGUAAAUGUGUCAAGAAAAUGUGUUGUGAAUUAAGUGUUAUAAACUAUAAUAAGAAUACAAGAAACUAGUAAAAUAUUAAAGGAUUUGUUAACAUGUUAGGGAUGCACUUAAAUGCGGAGAACAAAUUAACAUGUAGAAAAUGUAGAGAAUUACUAGUAUUUUAGCAUGCUGAAAGUCAACUAAGCAUGCUGAAAAAUUAAUUAAACAUGCUAAAAAAGUUAAUUGAACAUGCUGAGAAUAAGUUAAGGCACAGUAUUUUCAUGUUGAUAUGCUGAAAACAUGCCAAGAAUGCGUAAAAUCUAAUAUUUUAACAUUCUAUAAAUGUAGGGAACUAGCAUUUUAAGCAUGCUGGAAUUCAGUUUAAGUGCUGAAAUUUAUUUAGAUGCGCAGAAAAAUCAUUUAAACAUGUUGGAAAUUAAUCUAAAAUUGCUAAACAUGAUGUUAGACAUGCUGAAACUUUGAUGUUAACAUGCUCAAAUUAUUUUAAUAUGCCUAAAACUGUGUCGACACACCUAAACAUGUAAAGACAUACUAAAUAAGUUGUGCUUAACAUGCGAAAAUUAAUGUAAUAAGCUAACGUAUCGAAAAUAUUAUCAUGCCUUAAUUCAAUGUGGAUAUGUUAAAAAGAUAUUAGCAUGCUUAGGUUCAAAUCAAUAUGCUUAACAUGCAGAAAUACGUCAACAGGCCUAAUGUUAAAUUAAUAAGCUUCAUAUCAAUUAAUAUGAUACAUCAAUUUUAGAUAGAUAAGAGUAAUUAAUAAACUAUAGCAAGAUUCAUAUUAAUAGACCCUAAUUUUGUGCCUAGAUGAUUCAAAUAACACGUCCUGCACGUAAUCCUAGGUUGUGCCUACCUGUACCAUUUAUAGAGCACAUAAUCCCCGCCCCCCAAAGCAAUCCCCAAGAAAUUAUAUUAUUACAUCGAUAAUAAUGUCUUUACACAAUAUUAAAAAUCAAAUAAUAAGAAAGUACACUCAAGCUAAUACAAUCUAAUUAUUAAACUAAUUUGGUUACUCUUCGAAACCCGUAGUAGUCUACUUAAACCUGCGAAAUAAGAUGUAAUGGCAAGCAAAGCAAGAAUAUAUGAUGAACAUCAAAAUUUUCUAUAGACAUGUUUUCUAAAGGUUGUCACGACAUGAUGCAGUCAACACACAAAGAAAAGAAAAUUGCAUCGAUUCGUGAACUUACCAGUGAUUAGCAGUAAGAGAGAUAAAUAAUAAUAGAAGCCAAAAGCCAAGUAUACGUAAUAGCGAGAUAUGCAAGAUGUUAACAGCAGCCUCUAAAGAGAAACAAAUGCACUUAAAAAUUUUAAUUACCUUUGUAAAAAGUAGCCAAUGAUUUUUUGUUAAGAGUAGUAGUAGUAAUCGUAAUUGUGAGACUUGAGAACCUUUUACUGUCUCUUUUUGUGAAUGAAGGGAUGGGUUUAUAUAGUGUCAAAGAAAUCAGUCAGCCGAGACAAAACAGGAAAAGAAAUAUUCCACCCCUUUAAUUACUGAAGUGAUAUUAUGUAAGAUCAGUCGGGGGUAAAAAUAAGAAAGAGGAGAAAUCAAUCACCCAUAAUUUCCUUAAAAGAAGGCUUGCUCAAUCAAUUGUUUCAUGUUUUCCAUAAAUAAGUGGGUAAGAAAAGAUACUAAGUUGAAAGAGGAAAAAUAAUAACAAAAACACGUAUCAUUAACCAUAUAUACUCAAAUUAAUUUAAAGCCAUCCAUUAAUUCUAUAAAAAAGCCCAGAAUCCAUUGUCAAUUUGGAAAAAACACAAUCAAUAUUUUAUCAUAAACACUGAUUCAAAUAUAAUCCAUGUAUAGCACCUUUCAAUAACAAGCAGCAGUCAGCAAUCACAUUGAAUGUUAUAUUUGAGGGUUUUCACACAUAAUAGUCCAACGAUAAACAUAUAGCUAGAUAAAUUAAAUCUCACUGACAGUCAGAUAUGAUAAACCUUAGACAAUUCGGGUGACGAAAAGAACAUUCAAAUCAAAUCGAUAACAAACAUGCUAUUAAGGAAACAAACCGUAUAAUAGUCAGAUCUUAGGGGGUGCUAUUUCUAUUGUUGGUGGCACCGGAGAUGAAGGGGAUUGCAGAUUUGGUGCGGCGUGAGAGAGAGGCGAAAAAAAGGGGUCGAAUCGCGGCUGGUGGAGGUGGCAGAUCUGGGGGUGACACUGGAGUGGUGGCUCCGAUCAGCGAUGGUAGGCUGGUCGUUCUUGGUUUCACCAGAGAAGAUGGCCCUGAGGCUGGUUGCAUGGAGGUGGCAUGGUGGUUUUUAUGGUCGAUUAGUGAUGAAGAGAUCGGAGGAGGGGGAGAUCAAGAUUUGGAAGAGUUUUGUAGAGAGAGAAGAGGGCAAAGAGAAGGGCUCUCCGGUGAUGAC
rnacentral:lncRNA from 1 species